rnacentral:misc_RNA from 1 species
UUUUCGUAGGUGAACCUGCGGAAGGAUCAUUAGUGAAUUUUGGGAGUCCCUCUUAACCGGAGAAGGCCCAACCCACUACCUUUUUAUACACUUGUGCAUUUGUCCCUUUUUUACACCCUGUGCAGUCGAAACAGUCCUUUGUAUGAAACUUGAUAAUGAAAGAAAAACUUUCAGCAAUGGAUCUCUUGGCUCUCGCAUCGAUGAAGAACGCAGC